AUGGCAGAAGUGGGGAGCAUGACCCAGAUGUACAUAGUGAGGAGGCCAGGGCCACUGCGAAGGAGCCGAAGGAGCCGAAGGAGCCGGGGCAGGAGGAAUCAGAGUCCGGAGAAAGAACUCGGUCUCUUCCGCCCGCCCUCUGGAUUUCUGUGGGUGCCUCCCACCAGCUGGCUGGGAGAAGCCAGCGACCCUGGGAGCCUGUGGGCUCAGCAUACAGCAGGGGAGAGAAGAGGCUGAAGAAGAGCCGCCCUGGGGGCGGGGCUACCCCUGUGGCUCUGUGUUCAGUUCCUCUGCAAUGCAGAAGACCUUGGGGAAGGAGACAGAGGAGUGGCCGGCUUGGGCUUUUAGAUUGUUUUCACUCUUCUGGGGAGGAAAGAGCUCUACUGGGAGGGAAAGCCUUUCCUCAGAGUUGACCCUGCUCUCCCUCGGAGGCCAUCCGCCCUCUAAAGCACCCCGCCUCGUGCUCCCCUCUAGAAAGCCACGUCCUGGUUUCUGUGUACACCCCUGCCUGUUCCUCUCCUCCCAGGCUCUGGUUUCCCCUGCCUUGAUCACUAACCAGAGCAGGUCACAAUGCUUGGGAAGCUUUCUCCCACGCCAUGCCAGUGUGGCCUGCCUGUCUGUAGGAGAGGCCAUUCGACCGUCAGUUUGUAUCGUGUUUCCAAUAAAUUUCUGGAAAUCA
rnacentral:lncRNA from 1 species